UACAGAGGGUGCAAGCGUUAAUCGGAAUUACUGGGCGUAAAGCGUGCGCAGACGGUUGCGUAAGUCAGAUGUGAAAGCCCCGGGCUCAACCUGGGAAUUGCAUUUGAGACUGCGUAGCUAGGGUGCGGAAGAGGGAAGCGGAAUUUCCGGGUGUAGCGGUGAAAUGCGUAGAUAUCGGAAGGAACACCAGUGGCGAAAGCGGCUUCCUGGUCCAGCACCGACGUUCAGGCACGAAAGCGUGGGGAGCAAACAGG
rnacentral:rRNA from 1 species